rnacentral:rRNA from 1 species
GAGUUUGAUCGUGGCUCAGGAUAAACGCUGGCGGCGCACAUAAGACAUGCAAGUCGAACGGACUUAACCAUUAGUUUACUAUUGGAGCGGUUAGUGGCGGACUGGUGAGUAACACGUAAGCAACCUGCCUAUCAGAGGGGAACAACAGUUAGAAAUGACUGCUAAUACCGCAUAUGCCUAAGUAUCGCAUGAUACAAUAGGGAAAGGAGCAAUCCGCUGAUAGAUGGGCUUGCGUCUGAUUAGCUAGUAGGUGGGGUAAAGGCCUACCUAGGCAACGAUCAGUAGCCGGAUUGAGAGGUUGAACGGCCACAUUGGGACUGAGAUAC